rnacentral:rRNA from 1 species
AUUGAACGCUGGCGGCAGGCCUAACACAUGCAAGUCGAACGAGUGGCGGACGGGUGUGUAAUGUCUGGGACACUGCCCGAUGGAGGGGGAUAACUACUGGAAACGGUAGCUAAUACCGCAUACCAUCGGAGGUGCCCAGAUGGGAUUAGCUAGUAGGUGGGGUAAGGGUUCACCAAGGCGACGAUCCCUAGCUGGUCUGAGAGGAGGACCGGCAACACUGGAACUUAGACACGGCCCAGACUCCUACGGGAGGCAGCGGUGGGGAAUAUUGCACAAGGGGCGAAAGCCUGAUGCAGCAAUGCCGCGUGGAUAAAGAAGGCCUUGGGGUUGUAAAGUACUUUCAGCGAGGAGGCGUUACUCACAGAAGAAGCACCGGCUAACUCCGUGCCAGCAGCCGCGGUAAUAC